rnacentral:ncRNA from 1 species
AAUGAAGAGGGUGUUGAAAUCAAUGAAACAUUUGAGGGCAUUCCAUAACUUUUUCCCCUUCAAGCAAUAUCACAGACAACCUUCCAUCCAAAGUCCACAAAAUUGAAACCCAUUUUUGAGAGUUGUCGGUGCCUCAUCCUAUAACUGACGACAACGUUAGGAAAUCCAAAGAUGUCUUUGGGGGCCCAGGGAAUACUUAUCUUUUCUUUUUAACAUCUUUCCAACCCUGAAAUCGAAUCAAACAAAGAUAGAGUCCAGGAGCUGGAAGAGUAUCGCACGUCUUGCGGUGUUCGGUGCUCCCUCGACGACCCUUGAAAAUCUGGAGGACUGAGUACCGUCCAUGCUCGGUCGUACUCAUAACCACAUCAGGUCUCCAAGUUGAACAGUCUCU